GACGGACGCUGGCGGCGUGCUUAACACAUGCAAGUCGGACGGAAAGGCCCUGCUUUUGUGGGGUGCUCGAGUGGCGAACGGGUGAGUAACACGUGAGUAACCUGCCCUUGACUUUGGGAUAACUUCAGGAAACUGGGGCUAAUACCGGAUAGGAGCUCCUGCUGCAUGGUGGGGGUUGGAAAGUUUCGGCGGUUGGGGAUGGACUCGCGGCUUAUCAGCUUGUUGGUGGGGUAGUGGCUUACCAAGGCUUUGACGGGUAGCCGGCCUGAGAGGGUGACCGGCCACAUUGGGACUGAGAUACGGCCCAGACUCCUACGAGAGGCAGCAGUGGGGAAUAUUGCACAAUGGGCGGAAGCCUGAUGCAGCAACGCCGCGUGCGGGAUGACGGCCUUCGGGUUGUAAACCGCUUUCGCCUGUGACGAAGCGUGAGUGACGGUAAUGGGUAAAGAAGCACCGGCUAACUACGUG
rnacentral:rRNA from 1 species